GCCAGUGUUGUACAGUGGUUUAAGUGUUGGACUGUGACUCUGGAGACCAGAGUUCAAUUCCCAGCUUGGCC
rnacentral:tRNA from 1 species